GACGAACGCUGGCGGCGUGCCUAACACAUGCAAGUCGAACGGGGUAAAGCCCUUCGGGACUUUACUUAGUGGCGAACGGGUGAGUAACGCGUGAGGAACCUGCCUUUCAGUGGGGGACAACAGUUGGAAACGACUGCUAAUACCGCAUGACGCUUCUUGGGGGCAUCCCUGGGAAGUAAAAGAUUUAUUGCUGAAAGAUGGCCUCGCGUCUGAUUAGCUAGUUGGGGGGGUAACGGCCCACCAAGGCGACGAUCAGUAGCCGGUCUGAGAGGGUGAAGGGCCAAAUUGGGACUGAGAUACGGCCCAGACUCCUACGGGAGGCAGCAGUGGGGAAUAUUGGGCAAUGGGGGAAACACUGACCCGGCAACGCCGCGUGAAGGAAGAAGGCCUUCGGGUGUUAAACUUCUUUUAGCAGGGACGAAGGACGUGACGGUACCUGCAGAAAAAGCAACGGCUAACUACGUGCCAGCAGCCGCCGUAA
rnacentral:rRNA from 1 species